GGAGACAGUACCCAGGGGGGUGGCAAGAGCAUGGAGCUCAGGUGGGCAGGGUGUGGGUGUGGAGACAUCCCCACACACUUGCCCCCAUGACACACAGUUCCCACUACUGGCGACAGCAGCAGACAGGGGCUUUCGGGGUGCUCAUGGCCCACACAGGCACCGCUGCCCAGCAGAACGCAGCUCUGGCCAAAGCUGCACAUGGUGGCAUAGAGCGCAGCCAGGCUGGCCCAUCUCUAUCACACAGGACUCCCUGCAGUGCAUGUGCAGCUCCCGGCACUUGUGCGCCACCAGGGGAAGCCCCACGCAUUGAAGAUGACUGCCUUCCCCGAUCCUUGCCGCCAGAGAUGCAGAAGACAAGGCUCCCCGGCAUUUCUGGCAGAGUCCCAGCAGCUACACAUGACAGCCAGCUCCAUUGCACAUCGCUGGGAACUGUACGCGUGCCAUGGGGAGCCUCGCACAAUAGAGGCAGGCUGGUCUCGCUAUGCUCCUUGCUACCAUGUACAACUCUAGCCAGAGCCAUGUGCUGUCAGGUGGCAGUGCCUGCAUGGGCCACAAGCACCCAGAGGGCCUGUCGGCAGCAGGGGCUGCGUACCAUGGGUGGAGAGAAGUGUGUGUGUGGGGGUUCCCACACCACCCCCACAUCUCACAACCCUGCACACCCACAACCCCCUACCUACACACACCCCAGCAAUAUAUCCCAUGCCCUCCCCCACAAACACACACGAAGCCACACACUCUCAAAACCCCCUCUUACACACACCCACCCUAUCAUACACAACCCCCCCCAACCACCCCUCCACACAUACCCCCUACACUUGUGCACAGCGUGGAGGCACAUGUGGGCCAUCCACUGAAAGUCUGGGCCUCCCCAGGGGUCCUGCACAACCACGACAAUGAGCCCUCUGCCUGCCCAGCAACAGUGGGAGCAGCAGUGGCAUGGAGCUAUGCCACCUACUGCUGCCAGGCAGGUAGGGGGCACACAGCCAGUGCAGGGCUCCAGGGGGAAAAGCAGCAGGGUGGGG
rnacentral:lncRNA from 1 species